rnacentral:tRNA from 4 species
GCCGACGUAGCUCAGUGGUAGAGCAGUUGAUUCGUAAUCAACAGGUCGUGGGUUCAACUCCCACCGUCGGCU